rnacentral:rRNA from 1 species
GCCAUGCCGCGUGUGUGAAGAAGGCCUUUUGGUUGUAAAGCACUUUAAGCGAGGAGGAGGCUACCUAGAUUAAUACUCUGGGAUAGUGGACGUUACUCGCAGAAUAAGCACCGGCUAACUCUGUGCCAGCAGCCGCGGUAAUACAGAGGGUGCGAGCGUUAAUCGGAUUUACUGGGCGUAAAGCGUGCGUAGGCGGCUGAUUAAGUCGGAUGUGAAAUCCCUGAGCUUAACUUAGGAAUUGCAUUCGAUACUGGUCAGCUAGAGUAUGGGAGAGGAUGGUAGAAUUCCAGGUGUAGCGGUGAAAUGCGUAGAGAUCUGGAGGAAUACCGAUGGCGAAGGCAGCCAUCUGGCCUAAUACUGACGCUGAGGUACGAAAGCAUGGGGAGCAAACAGGAUUAGAUACCCUGGUAGUCCAUGCCGUAAACGAUGUCUACUAGCCGUUGGGGUCUUUGAGGCUUUAGUGGCGCAGCUAACGCGAUAAGUAGACCGCCUGGGGAGUACGGUCGCAAGACUAAAACUCAAAUGAAUUGACGGA